rnacentral:rRNA from 1 species
CUUUCCCUCUUUCUUCAUGCUUUACACAUGCAAGUCGAGCGGCAGCGCGGCCUUCGGGCUGGCGGCGAGCGGCGAACGGGUGAGUAAUGCAUCGGAACAUGCCCAGUCGUGGGGGAUAACACUUCGAAAGAAGUGCUAAUACCGCAUACGUCCUGAGGGGGAAAGCGGGGGAUCGCAAGACCUCGCGCGAUUGGAGUGGCCGAUGUCAGAUUAGCUAGUUGGUGGGGUAAAGGCCUACCAAGGCGACGAUCUGUAGCUGGUCUGAGAGGAUGAUCAGCCACACUGGGACUGAGACACGGCCCAGACUCCUACGGGAGGCAGCAGUGGGGAAUUUUGGACAAUGGGGGCAACCCUGAUCCAGCCAUGCCGCGUGAGUGAAGAAGGCCUUCGGGUUGUAAAGCUCUUUCGGCAGGAACGAAACGGUGGGCUCUAACAUAGUCCGCUAAUGACGGUACCUGAAGAAGAAGCACCGGCUAACUACGUG